UACGGAGGAUGCGAGCGUUAUCCGGAUUUAUUGGGUUUAAAGGGUGCGUAGGCGGCGCCCCAAGUCAGCGGUAAAAAUGCGGUGCUCAACGCCGUACAGCCGUUGAAACUGGGGGGCUCGAGUGCGCCAGGAGCAUGCGGAAUGCGCAGUGUAGCGGUGAAAUGCAUAGAUAUUGCGCAGAACUCCGAUCGCGAAGGCAGCAUGCUAUGGCGGGACUGACGCUGAGGCACGAAAGCGUGGGGAUCGAACAGGAUUAGAUACCCUGGUAGUCCACGCAGUAAACGAUGAGCACUGACUGUGCGGGGCGAACGGGCCCUGCGCGGUAAAGCGAAAGCGUUAAGUGCUCCACCUGGGGAGUACGCCGGCAACGGUGAA
rnacentral:rRNA from 1 species